GUUUUUUUUUUUUUACUGCAUUUAUGCUUAACCUUGCCUGAAAAUUACAAUUAAAAAAAGUUAAGGCAGGAUUUUACAUGUUUACGAGACAUAAGGGCAGGAAUUCAGAGGGGAAAGUAGCCGUUUUUAGUUUUUUUUUAAACGUCAUACGUCAAACGGGUCAUAUUACCUCACAUAGGGGAGCAACAUUCUCGGACUCCUUCUCUGACCGCGCCCCUGUAGUAGUUGGUUUGAGCGGUUGUGAUUUAGUGAGCUGGUAUUUUUUUCGGUAGUUUUACAUCAUGGUGUACCAUUGUGUUUGUGCUGGUUGCACAAACUCCAGCCUGUCAGGAUAUCGAGUCCACAAUUUCCCUAACAGGAAAAGGACCGGAGCUAGCUUUCGUUCCUGGGUGCGUUUUGUGCAAGCGAAGAGACGGGACUUCACUACCGCAUCUGCGACGAAAAACGCGGUCGUUUGUGGCGCUCAUUUUAGACAGGAGGAUUAUGAGGCAGGUGAUCUGAUGCAGUUCAGGAUGGGAUAUCGAAGCCAGGACCGUGUGAGGCUGAUAGCUAGUGCGGUUCCGUCAAUACACCCAGCUUCUUUAUCAGCUCCGGUAGCAGCAGCAGCAGCCGGUGGCGGGAGUGAUGGUCAAGGAUCGGUCAGAAAAUCUGAGGUACUUUACUUUGCAAAAGUACUUUACUUUGUAAAAGUACCUCAGAGUAUUCUCUUGCAAAUUCUUUUUACAUAGUUAUUUUGUACGUUUUCUCUUCUACAUUUGUUACCUAACACCUGAAGAUGAAUGCGCACAAGACAUAAACAAAUAUAACGUUUUUUAUUAACUUGUUUAUUUGUGUUCCAUUAUGGUUGUUUUGUACAUAGAUGUAUAUAUAAAGGCUAGAUGACUCAAGGGGGAGUCGCCAGCGUAGCUCACCGGUGGCCAUCUUGCCACAGUCAACAACUACUGCUACAGCUGUUGUAAGACACUUUCACACAAUCCAACAAACGGUCUUGCUGCCUCUGGUUCAGAUCCCGCGCUCUUUUGAAGUAGGCCAAGUUUCUCUGAACAUGGAAGGGAUUUUUGGUUUCCAAGUGCCUCUUCAGCUUGCUUGGAACCAUGUCCGCAUUAGCUAACUUCUCCCGACAGACGACGCACUCGGGCUGAGGAUUGUUGAGAUCCCCGGUCCAACUGAAGCCAUAAGACAGAUGUCCUCUGUGGUUGCGGGUGGGCUUGCAGGAAAGUCCACUUCAUCCUCUGGGGUGAAAGGAAACAUAUACUGGGACUGUGACAGCAGCUUGGAUCAGAUCACGGUUGUGAGGAUCGACGACACGCACAUUGCGGAGGAUAAAGACUCUGCGGCGUGCUACGAUGUGGAGUACUCCAUUCCCGCUGAGGAGGAGGCUAACGACGAGGACCACGGCGUCCACCGCAUCCACGUCAUCGAGUUCUUUAUAAUUUUUUUAUCUUUUAUUUUUUUUUAUUUAACCUUUAUUUAACCAGA